AAGAAUAAAACUUCAUUCAUACUUCAUUCGUUCUUGUUAUUUCAUUACCAAGAAUUUAAUAUAUUUAUCCAUAUUAGGCAUUUACAAAUUGAAGUAUCUCCAUUCAUCUGCUGCAUGUCUAGCCCAAAAAUCUCAAUAACAAUUUUAGAGGAGAUAUCAUUUCAUUGCAAAAGAAAACAGUAGCAAACAGUCAUAAUGCAAAAAUUCCAGCAAGUUCCUUCAGGAAAGAUAUGCCGAAGAUUUAGUUGCACAGUCACUAUGAAAACAAUGAUUCACCAUAUAUGCAUAUCAAUUAUUAGUCAAAGCAAUAGUCAUAUAGGAUACUCUUGGAAAUCAUGGUGUUUAAAAAUCAUUCCAAGU
rnacentral:misc_RNA from 1 species